rnacentral:rRNA from 1 species
UACAGAGGUCUCAAGCGUUGUUCGGAUUCAUUGGGCGUAAAGGGCGCGUAGGCGGUGCGGCAAGUCACCUGUGAAACCUCUGGGCUUAACCCAGAGCCUGCAGGCGAAACUGCCGUGCUGGAGUGUGGGAGAGGUGCGUGGAAUUCCCGGUGUAGCGGUGAAAUGCGCAGAUAUCAGGAGGAACACCAAUUGCGAAGGCAGCUCGCUGGGACGUUACUGACGCUGAGACGCGAAAGCGUGGGGAGCAAACAGG